rnacentral:rRNA from 1 species
UUAAACUAGGGUUAGAUACCCUAUUAUUUAAAAUGUAAAUUUUUAUACUUAAUUAGUAAAAGUUAAAUUCUGGAAAUUUAAAAGUUUUGGCGGUAUUUCAAUCUUUUCAGAGGAACCUGUUCUAUAAUCGAUAGUCCACGAUAAAUUAAACUUUUUUUAUUAAUUUGUAUAUCGUUGUUUAAAAAAUUUUAUUAGAAUUUUAAUUUUUAGAAUUUAUUAUUUUUAAAUAAAUCAGAUCAAGACAUAGUUUAUAAAUAAGUAGAAAUGGGUUACAAUAAAUUUAUUUAAGUGAAUUUAAAAAUUAAUUUUUUAUUGAAAAUGGAUUUGAAGGUAAUUUUUUUUAUAUUUAAAGAUGUGAUUUAAGUUUUGAAAUAUGCACAUAUCGCCCGUCGCUCUUUUUAUAAAAAAAGAUAAGUCGUAACAUAGUAGAUGUACUGGAAAGUGUAUCUAGAAAGCAGAUUAGAGCUUGAUAAUUAAGCAUUUUAUUUACAUUAAAAAGUUGUUGUGAAAUUCAAUAUAAUGAUUAAUAAAAAAAUUAUUUUUAUUUAUGUUAAUUUAUUUUAUAUUUAUUAAAAAAUUUUAAUUUGAAUGUUUUAUUAUUUUUAUUAGAAAAAAUUUUGUUAAUUAUAGUUUAUUUAUAUUGAAAAAGAUUUUAAAAAUUAUUAAUUUUUUUAAAGUAAAAUUUUAUUUUUGUACCUUGUGUAUCAGGGUUAAUUAAAUUAAUCUUAUUUAUUUAAUUUUCUCGAAACAAAAAGAUUUAAUUAAAUAUAAUUUUUAUUGUAGAAUAAAUAUUAUAAAUAUUUAAUUUGAAAUGAAAAGUUUUUCGGUUUUUGUAUAUCUAGUUUUUUUAGAAAUAAAUUUAAUUUAUUUAUUUAAAAUUAAAUGUUUAAUUUUUUAAGUUUUUGAUGUAAAUAAUUAAUAUUUCAAGGGAUUAGCUUUGAAUUAAAUUUUUAAAAUUUGUUUUAUUGUAUUAAAUUUAUAAGUUUAGAAUUAUUUAUUAUUAAAAGAAUGUUAUAAUUUAUUUAAUUAAAAGUAAGAUUUAUUGUUUUUUAAGAUAUUUAUAAAAAUAAAUUUUAAAAUUUUUUAGAAAUUUUAAUAAUGAUUAAAUUAGUAUAAAAUUAUAGUUAUUAAUAUUUUAGAUUUUUAGUUAAAAAUUAGGAAUUCGGCAAUUUAUUUUUUCGAAUGUUUAUCAAAAACAUUUCUUUUAGAUAAUAAUUUAAAGUUUAACCUGCUCAAUGAUAAUUUAAAUAGCUGCGGUAUAUUAACCGUACAAAGGUAGCAUAAUCAUUAGUUUUUUAAUUGAAAGCUAGAAUGAAUGGUUCAACGAAAAAAAUACUGUCUUAUUUUUAUAAUUAGAAUUUAAUUUUUAAGUUAAAAAGCUUAAAUUUUUUUAAAAGACGAGAAGACCCUAUAGAUCUUUAUAAUUUAAUUUUAUAUAUAAUUUAGAAAAAUUUAUUUUUUAUUAUUUAAAUUAUUUUAUUGGGGUGAUAUAAAGAUUUAAUAAACUCUUUAAUUUUAAAUUAAUAAUUUUUAUAUUUUUGAUCCAAAAUUUUUGAUUAUAAGAAUAAGUUACCUUAGGGAUAACAGCGUAAUUUUUUUAGAGAGUUCUUAUCGAUAAAAAAGAUUGCGACCUCGAUGUUGGAUUAAGAAUUGAUUUUGGUGCAAAAGUUAAAUUUCAAGGUCUGUUCGACCUUUAAAUUCUUACAUGAUCUGAGUUAAAACCCGGAGA